rnacentral:rRNA from 1 species
UAAGGAAUAUUGCUCAAUGGGAGAAAUCCUGAAGCAGCAACACCGCGUGGAGGAUGAAGGGUCUAUGACUUGUAAACUCCUGUAAAGAAGGAAAAAAUUCCCAUUAGAUGGGAGAUGAUGGUACUUCUGGAGUAAGCCCCGGCUAACUACGUGCCAGCAGCCGCGGUAAUACGUAGGGGGCAAGCGUUGUCCGGAUUUACUGGGUGUAAAGGGUGCUCAGGCGGAUUUGUAAGUCAGAGGUGAAAUCUUACAGCUUAACUGUGAAACUGCCUUUGAUACUGCAAGCCUAGAGUAUGGAAGAGAGUGAUGGAAUAUCUGGUGUAGCAGUGAAAUGCGUAGAUAUCAGAUAGAACACCAAUGGCGAAGGCAGUCACUUGGUCCAUUACUGACGCUAAAGCAC